UUAAGCGACUAAGCGUACACGGUGGAUGCCCUGGCAGUCAGAGGCGAUGAAGGACGUGCUAAUCUGCGAUAAGCGUCGGUAAGGUGAUAUGAACCGUUAUAACCGGCGAUUUCCGAAUGGGGAAACCCAGUGUGUUUCGACACACUAUCAUUAACUGAAUCCAUAGGUUAAUGAGGCGAACCGGGGGAACUGAAACAUCUAAGUACCCCGAGGAAAAGAAAUCAACCGAGAUUCCCCCAGUAGCGGCGAGCGAACGGGGAGGAGCCCAGAGCCUGAAUCAGUGUGUGUGUUAGUGGAAGCGUCUGGAAAGGCGCGCGAUACAGGGUGACAGCCCCGUACACAAAAAUGCACAUACUGUGAGCUCGAUGAGUAGGGCGGGACACGUGGUAUCCUGUCUGAAUAUGGGGGGACCAUCCUCCAAGGCUAAAUACUCCUGACUGACCGAUAGUGAACCAGUACCGUGAGGGAAAGGCGAAAAGAACCCCGGCGAGGGGAGUGAAAAAGAACCUGAAACCGUGUACGUACAAGCAGUGGGAGCCUCUUUUAUGGGGUGACUGCGUACCUUUUGUAUAAUGGGUCAGCGACUUAUAUUCUGUAGCAAGGUUAACCGAAUAGGGGAGCCGAAGGGAAACCGAGUCUUAACUGGGCGUUAAGUUGCAGGGUAUAGACCCGAAACCCGGUGAUCUAGCCAUGGGCAGGUUGAAGGUUGGGUAACACUAACUGGAGGACCGAACCGACUAAUGUUGAAAAAUUAGCGGAUGACUUGUGGCUGGGGGUGAAAGGCCAAUCAAACCGGGAGAUAGCUGGUUCUCCCCGAAAGCUAUUUAGGUAGCGCCUCGUGAAUUCAUCUCCGGGGGUAGAGCACUGUUUCGGCAAGGGGGUCAUCCCGACUUACCAACCCGAUGCAAACUGCGAAUACCGGAGAAUGUUAUCACGGGAGACACACGGCGGGUGCUAACGUCCGUCGUGAAGAGGGAAACAACCCAGACCGCCAGCUAAGGUCCCAAAGUCAUGGUUAAGUGGGAAACGAUGUGGGAAGGCCCAGACAGCCAGGAUGUUGGCUUAGAAGCAGCCAUCAUUUAAAGAAAGCGUAAUAGCUCACUGGUCGAGUCGGCCUGCGCGGAAGAUGUAACGGGGCUAAACCAUGCACCGAAGCUGCGGCAGCGACGCUUAUGCGUUGUUGGGUAGGGGAGCGUUCUGUAAGCCUGUGAAGGUGUGCUGUGAGGCAUGCUGGAGGUAUCAGAAGUGCGAAUGCUGACAUAAGUAACGAUAAAGCGGGUGAAAAGCCCGCUCGCCGGAAGACCAAGGGUUCCUGUCCAACGUUAAUCGGGGCAGGGUGAGUCGACCCCUAAGGCGAGGCCGAAAGGCGUAGUCGAUGGGAAACAGGUUAAUAUUCCUGUACUUGGUGUUACUGCGAAGGGGGGACGGAGAAGGCUAUGUUGGCCGGGCGACGGUUGUCCCGGUUUAAGCGUGUAGGCUGGUUUUCCAGGCAAAUCCGGAAAAUCAAGGCUGAGGCGUGAUGACGAGGCACUACGGUGCUGAAGCAACAAAUGCCCUGCUUCCAGGAAAAGCCUCUAAGCAUCAGGUAACAUCAAAUCGUACCCCAAACCGACACAGGUGGUCAGGUAGAGAAUACCAAGGCGCUUGAGAGAACUCGGGUGAAGGAACUAGGCAAAAUGGUGCCGUAACUUCGGGAGAAGGCACGCUGAUAUGUAGGUGAAGUCCCUUGCGGAUGGAGCUGAAAUCAGUCGAAGAUACCAGCUGGCUGCAACUGUUUAUUAAAAACACAGCACUGUGCAAACACGAAAGUGGACGUAUACGGUGUGACGCCUGCCCGGUGCCGGAAGGUUAAUUGAUGGGGUCAGCGCAAGCGAAGCUCUUGAUCGAAGCCCCGGUAAACGGCGGCCGUAACUAUAACGGUCCUAAGGUAGCGAAAUUCCUUGUCGGGUAAGUUCCGACCUGCACGAAUGGCGUAAUGAUGGCCAGGCUGUCUCCACCCGAGACUCAGUGAAAUUGAACUCGCUGUGAAGAUGCAGUGUACCCGCGGCAAGACGGAAAGACCCCGUGAACCUUUACUAUAGCUUGACACUGAACAUUGAGCCUUGAUGUGUAGGAUAGGUGGGAGGCUU
rnacentral:rRNA from 1 species